rnacentral:lncRNA from 1 species
AAGUCGAUGCAAACCGCCGCGGAGAAUGAGCGCAGGCGCAGGCUCGAGGAGGACGAACGCCGCACCGUCGCCGCGCAGGCGCUUCAGAACGCCCUCGACGAGGAGAAGGCGAAGCGCGCGCAGGAGGACCUUCGCAGGCAGCAGGCUCGCGCCGCCGCCGAAGCCGCCGCCGCCAUCGAGGAGGCGACGGUUUCCGCGGAGAAUGACAGACGAGCCAACGCGCGAGAGGCUGCGGUCCGCGCCGCCGAGGAAGAGCGCUCGCGGCGAGACGACGAGGAGGCCCGCAGGCGCGAAGCCGCGGACGCCUACCAGUCCCUCCUGGAGUCUCUCCGGGGCCUCGACGGCGAGUUUGAGCCCCGCCGGCUCGCCGCGGCGAAGGCUGCGCAGGCGGCGUUGGACCUCGAGAAGGACGCGCUCGCCUCGGCCAAACGCGCCCUCGAGGACGCCGUGGCCGAGGACAAGGCUCUCGCGGAGCAGGAGGCCAAGGACCGCGCCGCCGAGGACACGAAGAUCGCCGCCGCCAAGCUCGCGCUCGAGGAGAUGAUGCGAUCGGAGGCGCAGCGCAGGUCCGAGGAGGACCAGCGCCGCCGCGCCGCGCAGGCUGAGCUCGAGCGGCUCGUGCUCGUGGACCGCAGCUUGGGCGAGACGGAGGAGCGCCGCCGCGCCGCGUUCGACCUCGAGAUCGAACGCCUCUCCAAGCUCGCCGAGGACGAGGCUCGACGGCAGGAGGCGUCGGUGCGAGCAGCCGAGGAGGCGCGCCGCCGCGACGCCGAGGCGGCUAUUCGCGCCAAGGACGAGGACGAGCGAAGGGUCCAAAAGGAGGAGGAUGCCAGGCGCGUCGCCGCGGACGCCGCGAUCGAGGCUGCCGAGCGCGACCUCGCGCAGCAGAUCGCGCAGGAGGACAACCGCAGGGUCCAGUGGGAGGUGUCCAUGUCCGAGCGGGCGCGAGCCGAGGCUGAGAGGGUGGCUCGAGAGGAGCGCCGCGUCGCCGAGGCGGAGGAUGCCAUGCGUCGGAUGGUGCUCGAGGAGGAGAACAAGCGGAGGGAGGAGGAGUACCGCCGCGAACAGCUCGAGUCGCGGCUUCGCGCGAUCCAGGACGACGACGAGCGCCAACGCGCGGCGGAGGAGGCGCGACGCGCGGGCGCCGAGCUCCAGAUGCGACAGAUGGUCACCGAGGAGACCAACAUCACCGCGGCGGAGGAUGCGCGCAGGGCGCAAAUCGCCGCGGAGGUUGAGCUCGCGAACAAGAAGGAGGAGGCCAUCGUCGCCGCGGAGGAGGCGCGCAGGGCCGACGCCGACGCCGCCAUCGCCCGCGCCCGCGCCGCUCUCGACGCCCUCAUCGCCGAGAUUGACGCGAGGAGGAAGUCGUACGAGGCGGCCAUCUCCACGGCGGCGGCGGCGGAGGCGGCGAAACGCGCGGACGAGGACUCCCGCCGACGCGACGAGGAGGAGGACCGCCGGCGCAGGUCCGAGGCGGAGGUCAACAUGCGAGUCUCGGAGGACACCCGACGGGCUUCCGAGGAGAACCGCAGGUUCAAGGCUGAGACGGCGGCGAAGCGAGCGAGGGAUUUCGAGGAGAAGCGCCGAGCCGCCGA